UUCCGGUUAAAUAUUCAUAGGAUAUGGAUGGGCUCGCGUGACAUUAGCUAGUUGGUGGGGUAACGGCCCACCAAGGCGACGAUGUCUAGGGGCUCUGAGAGGAGAAUCCCCCCACACUGGUACUGAGACACGGACCAGACUCCUACGGGAGGCAGCAGUAAGGAAUAUUGGUCAAUGGGGGCAACCCUGAACCAGCCAUGCCGCGUGCAGGACGACUGCCCUAUGGGUUGUAAACUGCUUUUGUUAGGGAAUAAACCCCACUACGUGUAGUGGGCUGAAUGUACCUAAAGAAUAAGGAUCGGCUAACUCCGUGCCAGCAGCCGCGGUAAUACGGAGGAUCCGAGCGUUAUCCGGAUUUAUUGGGUUUAAAGGGUGCGUAGGCGGCACUUUAAGUCAGGGGUGAAAGACGGCAGCUCAACUGUCGCAGUGCCCUUGAUACUGAAGUGCUUGAAUGCGGUUGAAGACGGCGGAAUGAGACAAGUAGCGGUGAAAUGCAUAGAUAUGUCUCAGAACACCGAUUGCGAAGGCAGCUGUCUAAGCCGUUAUUGACGCUGAUGCACGAAAGCGUGGGGAUCGAACAGGAUUAGAUACCCUGGUAGUCCACGCCCUAAACGAUGAUGACUCGAUGUUUGCGAUAUACCGUAAGCGUCCAAGCGAAAGCGUUAAGUCAUCCACCUGGGGAGUACGCCCGCAAGGGUGAAACUCAAAGGAAUUGACGGGGGCCCGCACAAGCGGAGGAGCAUGUGGUUUAAUUCGAUGAUACGCGAGGAACCUUACCCGGGCUUGAAAGUUACUGAAGGGCGCAGAGACGCGCCCGUCCCUCGGGACAGGAAACUAGGUGCUGCAUGGCUGUCGUCAGCUCGUGCCGUGAGGUGUUGGGUUAAGUCCCGCAACGAGCGCAACCCCUAUGUUUAGUUGCCAGCACGUCAAGGUGGGGACUCUAAACAGACUGCCUGCGCAAGCAGAGAGGAAGGCGGGGACGACGUCAAGUCAUCAUGGCCCUUACGUCCGGGGCUACACACGUGCUACAAUGGAUGGUACAGCGGGCAGCUACACAGCAAUGUGAUGCCAAUCUCGAAAAGCCAUUCACAGUUCGGAUCGGGGUCUGCAACUCGACCCCGUGAAGUGGAUUCGCUAGUAAUCG
rnacentral:rRNA from 1 species